GGGUCAGUAGGUUGGUCGUGCCACCGGUAAGUACUUGUCUCACUGAUUCCUCCUUCCUGAAGAACCGUAAUGCCAUUAAUUUGGUGUUGCGGGGAAACAGGACUGUUACUUUGAAAAAAUUAGAGUGUUUAAAGCAAGCUAACGCUUGAAUACAUUAGCAUGGAAUAGUGAAAUAGGACGAUCGAUCCUAUUUUGUUGGUUUCUAGGAUUGACGUA
rnacentral:rRNA from 1 species